rnacentral:lncRNA from 1 species
CAGAUUUUGAAAUCAGAAUGGACACUAACAGGAAUCAAGUGCUACCACUUUCUGAUGUGGAUACAACUUCUGCUACAGAUAUUCAAAGCUGUGCUAUGUGUUUCCAGAUCUGCUUAUUGUUUGGGUUCAAGCCACCCCAGAGGAUUCCUUGCUAUGAAAAUGCGGCAUUUGAAUGCAAUGGGUUUUCAUGUGAUCUUGGUCAAUAACUGGGAGAUGGACAAACUAGAGAUGGAAGAUGCAGUCACAUUUUUGAAGACUAAAAUCUAUUCAGUAGAAGCUCUUCCUGUUGCUGCUGUAAAUGUGCAAAGCACACAAUAAAGUGAAAAUCAACCUUUUCAUAUUAGGAGACAUGCAUUUGUAAAAAUUAAUAAAGAUGACAAGUCAGUUGUCAAUGGAAUUGAGCUAUCUGCUAAGACAAAAAAUGUUACCUCAGUUCACUAUUAAAAUUAAUUUUAGGAGUGGAAGAAAUGUUACUGCCAUUUUAAAAUAUGCUGAGAAAAUUCCAGAAGGGUUAUUUUUCCAACCACACCUAUUCCCUCUAGUGCCCAGAUAUUUGAUUUGUGAGCUGUACGUUUCACCUUUUCAUCUUUGAUCUACUAAAAACUGGUUUCUUAGUUGUGAGGUGUCACAGGCAGGUUGAUGUGGGUAGUAGUCCUUGUGUUUGGAAUCUGAAUAUUUAUACUCCUGCUCUAAGCUGUUCUAAGACUUGGGGUUAUGCCUUUAAAUCAUUUUCAAGCAUUGGCCAAAUAAUAAUUGGACAAAGUUCUAAAGUUGUCAAGUGUGUAAGAAUUAGUGAGGUAGCUGUUGAAAAUGAGUGAGGAUGGUAUUUGUAUUUGUAAUAAGCACUGCAGGUAGAGAUAUUUCAUGGAUUAUAAUAAGAGAAACACAGAUGAGAUAAUAUGUAGAUGGUAAGGAGUCUUACUGUUGUUGGGGUCCUUCCUUUCUCUUUCUUUUUUACCCCUUACCCCUCCUACAAUUUCAUGAAGUCUUUUAAAUUAAAUAUAUAGCUGAAUUGUGUUGUGAAUCAGACCUGAGGACUAUUUUUUCGAUUAUGUGUGUUCAUUCUUUGUUCAAAUAUUUGUCCAAAUUCAACUAUUUUGUUCAAUAUGCCUGUCUACCUAGUAUUUGGCUCGCUGGGGAUAUAGUGAUGAAUAGGCAUGGUCUCUUGUGGAACUUACAGCAUGGGUUCCAUGCAAGUUGGUGUUAUUCUGCCCCCAAGCACACAGACAUGCAAUUACUAGACAUCUUAGUAUGUGCCGGGCACUGCUAAGUAUUCAUUUGUGUGCUGCCUUUUCAUGAUCUGAACCCUUUGAGGUGUAGCUGCUAUUAUGAUUCUCUCUGUGUCUUCACUUCCUCAUCUCUAAAAUCAGGAUAGGUAUUUGCCCAAGGCUACACAGAGUAGGGGAGGGCUAGAGUUUGAAUGUGAGCUAACAUAGGCUUAUAAGAAAAUACAAAAACUGGGCUGGGCACGGUGGGUCGUGCUUGUCAUCCCAGCACUUGGGAGGCCGAGGUGGGCUGAUCAUGAGGUCAGGAGAUCAAGACAAUCCUGGCCAACACGGUGAAACCCUAUCUCUACUAAAAUACAAAAAAUUAGCCUGGCAUGGUGGUGCAUGCCUAUAAUCCCAGCUACUGGGGAGGCUGAGGCAGGGGAAUCGCUUGAACCCGGGAGGUGGAGAUUGCAGUGAGCCAGGAUGGUCCUGCUGCACUCCAGCCUGACCACAGAGCGAGACUCUGUCUCAAAAAAAAACAAAAACAAAAACAAACAAAAAAACAAAAACUAUAGCAAUAUGACAACAGCUGCCAGGUUGUAUCAAUUUAUCCAGCUUGCAUUUAGAAAAGGUUAGAGAUGAAAGGAAAUUUAGUGAUUAUUUAAUUGUUACUUCCCUCAUUUUAUGGACGAGGAAGAUAAGGCUCAAAGAAUUUUCCUUUCCUGAAGUCUCAGCUAUGCCAUUGGUUCCACAUCAUUUCAUCCUCGCCUGCUCUUCAGCUUGUGUCCCAGGAGAUCAGGCUUCUGGUUCCAGAUUGGACAACCUCUAGUUUUGUAUACUUGGUCAAAUGAUUUAACCUUAUAAGCUUCAGAACAAGAUGCAGAUAUUCUGUUAUUAAAGAAACUAAGGUUUUGUCUUUAAAUGUUGAGUGUGCAUCAGUUUUGAGUGUCUAAUUAUGACUCCUCUUCAAAGGAUUUGACAAAUUUGUGAAUAUUUAUGACCACCUUUUAGGGUAGUAAUUUUCAGUUUGUACUAGUUAACCUGGCAGAUAAAAAGGCAUCCCUCUUUUACUAGCAUUCUAGUGUUAGCAUUCUUCAUUGCUUUGUGUCAAUGAAAGAAAAAUGGGCAAAGAGCUGAUGAACAUGAAAAAAGUUCAGUCUACUUGUAAAGACAUGCACAUUGAAACAGAAGAGAUGGUUUUGCCUUUCAAAUUAGCAGUUUUUUUUCUUUUAAGAAUUACAGUGCUGAUGAAGGUAUAAUGAGGCAAGCACUUGCAUAAGCUGUUGGUAGACUGUAAAUUAAUACCUUUCUGGAAUGUACUUUGUGGGGUUUUCUUCUCCCAUAAUUUAAAAAAUAGCUUUAUUAUAGUAUAAUUGACAUACAGUAAACUGCAUAUAUUUAAAGUGUACCAUUAGGUCAGUUUUGACGUACAUACACACACACACACAUCUGUGAAACCACAAUCAAGAUAAUGAAUAUAUCUAUCACCUCUAAAAGGUUCCUGUCUUUGCUUUUUUCUCUGUCCCCUAAACAACCACUGA